UUUAUCAUCCUUCCAUUUUUGAUCUUUCAUCACUAAAGGGGGCUGCUGAUGUCAAGUUCUUUUCUCUUUGCUCAAGAUGCAACCCAAACAUUAAAGAAAAUAAAACUAGACGAAGCUACUAACGCAAAGCUAGUGUCUGAAAUGAAGAUUGGAGGAGUGAGGCAAUGAAGAAAAAUUGACAACAAGCUGUUUAGUCCAUGCUGCGUUAAAAGACUAGGAACCAGGUUAUUCCAGGUAGCCAUUUAACGAAUUUUUUCUCUAAUAGUUUACACGAAUGAAUUCUUUCUAAUGUGCAGGACAAUACAAAGAUUCAUGGGGAGCUAAUUCGCGUACCUUUUUGGAUUACUUGCUUGGCGCAGUUGGAAGAACUGUAAUCUCUUUAUUUUUCAAGAAAGAACUUGGAGCUCGAGUGAAAUAGCUAAGCCAAACAAUAUUUUUCGGCCUUUAGUGAUGAACCGAAUGGAUACUACGAACUUUCUUUUGGAGAACAGACAAUUGAGAAUUGGGUUCUUAUCAAUACCGAUGGUGAUUCAAGGAAUGCAACUUCUGGGGGAGUAGUGUGCGAUGAGAAUGGGGAUUGGGUCUUUAGGUAUAACUGAUAUAUAAGAAAGUGUUCGGUUUUUUAUGCAAAACUUUGGGGCAUUUUGGAAGGUCUCAAGCUUAUUCAACGUAAACAUCAUGACGAGGUGAUAAUUCAAUCAAAUAGCUUGGAAGUUGUUAAAAGCCAUUCAAGGAAGCAUUUCCAAUGCAUGCAUUUUGUCUCAAAAAGACAAGUGGCUCUUGCGAUACAUUACUAGGGAGUAUAAUUAGGUUGCAGAUUGUUUAGCCAAACUAGCUUUGGCCAAAAUACAAGAUUUGCAGGUGUUUGAUUUCCCUCCAAGGACGAUUCUAGCAUUUCUUGAAACAGACAAGGGAAAAUGUGUUUUUCCACCAACUCUUUUUGCCUUUAGCUUAAUAAAUAUUUAUUACUUGAUUUAAUUUUAGUACUAUGAAUUAAACAAAGGUAAAUAGUUUAUACUUAACUGGCUAAGGGAACGAUUUGAUUUUAUUACUUUAUUAAUCAGCCCUCCACAUUUUAAUUCCGGACCAACAUGAGAGUAUACCAUA